CUGCAAUGUAAAUGAUGCUUAGAAAGAUGAAGCAACUGCAUCAGAGUCAUUCCAGAGAGGGAAAUCAUAAGAAAUUAUGCUGAACUUCUCUGGUCCUAAAGAUCAGUAUGAUGAAGAUCAACCAAUUUCCCACAUUCGCCAUCCCCAACUAUUUCCAGAUUAUUCAUCCACAGCGGAUAGCUGUAAAUUCUUGGGCUCACAUUAAGAACAUUGCCUACCCAUAUAUUCCCAUUGUGAGGAACUUCUAACAUUCUUGAACUAACAGCUGCUUCUUGAACUUAGAUUUGACCAGAAAAAUCAUUUCUAUAUAGUUUUCUCAUCUAUCACAUCAUCUCCUACUAUCAACAUUUCUUGAUGUGCUUGUUGAAAAGACAACAAUAUUGAGCUACAAGAAGUUUGUGUGGAAUAUCUUCUAUAUUGUUAAUAUUGUUUUUGGUUUAUGUUGGAUAUGUCAGACCUGGAUUGUGUGUUUAUAUUAACUGUACUGAUGAUUAAUUGAGGUCUUUUCAUCACUAUCUCUGAGAUAUAGAACACAAUAAUGUUGCCAAAAUAUUAAAAUAU